rnacentral:rRNA from 1 species
GCGUACACUGGCGGCACGCCUAACACAUGCAAGUCGAACGCAGUAGCAAUACUGAGUGGCAAACGGGUGAGUAUAAUGUGGGAAUCUGCCUUUUGGUUUGGAAUAACACGGGGAAACUUGUGCUAAUACCAAAUAAGCCCUUACGGGGAAAGUUUUAACGCCGAAAGAUGAGCCUGCACUUGAUUAGCUAGUUGGUGAGGUAAAAGCUUACCAAGGCAAUGAUCAAUAGCUGUUCUUAGAGGAAGACCAGCCACAUUGGGACUGAGACACGGCCCAGACUCCUACGGGAGGCAGCAGUAAGGAAUCUUGCACAAUGGGGGAAACCCUGAUGCAGCGAUGCCGCGUGAGUGAAGAAGGCCUUUGGGUUGUAAAACUCUUUCGUCGGGGAAGAAAAUGACUGUACCCGAAUAAGAAGGUCCGGCUAACUUCGUG